AGAUAAUUGAGUGAUAAUCAGAUGGCAAGAAUUUAUCUCAAACUGAAUCAGAUUCAGCGGCAGAUCUGAAAGUUGAUGAAACCAAAGAGAGUCUCGCAACGUCAUGUGGUGUUAGAGAACGUUUUCAAUGCAACCUUCAGGAAGUGGAUUGAAGGGAAGCUUAGCGGUUAAGUCUGGAGUUUCGUUAUAUCUCUUUGCUCACUUUUAGUUUAAGCUAAAAACUGAAGUAGUAAUGCCUGCUGAUAGUUAUCUAUUAUUAUUUCCUUCAAAAUCAUUUCUUAGAAUCAAAUAGGUUUUUAAAAGGGCCGGUGGAUGUCUGCUUGUGUUUUUAUUGCAUUAUGUUAGGAUACUUUGGAGCCAAUAUAAUUUUGAAGUUUGAUAUUUAAAAAGGGUUUUGAAACUAUUGUGAUUAGAGCUUUCCUUUUGAUAGUUUUUUUUUUUAUAGCUUUUGGCUUUGAUCCUAAGUUUUUACGGUCUGCAAAACUAGUACUCUCAAUUAUGAGAAUUGUUGUUGACACAUUGCAUAAAGCUGAAGCACACGAAUAAAAUAUAUUUUUUCUUUUA